CCUCCUCCUCCUGCUCUCCCUCCUCCUCCUCCUGCUCUCCCUCCUCCCCCUCCUCCCACUGCUCCCCCUCCUGCUCUCCCUCCUCCUCCUCCUGCUCUCCCUCCUCCUCCUCCUGCUCUCCCUCCUCCCCUCCUCCCAGUACUCCUCCUGCUGCUCCUCCUCCUCCCUUCCCCCUCCUUGUCCUCUUCUCAUCCUCUCCCUUCUCUUGCUCCUCCCUGUGUUCCUGGGCCCAGGUGACAGCCGUGCGGUGCCCUCUCUGUGCCCAUGUGCUCUGGCCAAGGCACAUGCCCCAGUCCAAUCUCCCAUUUCUCAAAUGAGAACCAAGGGGCCCAGAGCCCCGAGGUCAGUGCUGCCCCAGUGCUAAAGGGCCGCCGAGGCGGAGCAGAGGCACACUGGGCACCAGGCCCCCUGCAGCCCUGGGUGGUCUGGCUCUGAGUGACCCUGGGGCUGGGCACAUGGCCCUGACUCACAGACCCCAGUGUCAGGACUGCAGGUGGCUGCUGCCCUUGCUCCCAGACAUGGCCCUCCCACCCAGGCUGUCUCCCCUGCUCAAGCAGGGCUGGUAUACAGUGGUGCCUGGUGAGCACAGAGAGCAGACCGGGAGGAGACGGGUAUACAGUGGUGCCUGGUGAGCUGGUAUACAGUGGUGCCUGGUGAGCACAGAGAGCAGACCGGGAGGAGACGGGUAUACAGUGGUGCCUGGUGAGCACUAGGAGCAGACCGGGGAGGAGACGGGUAUACAGUGGUGCCUGGUGAGCUGGUAUACAGUGGUGCCUGGUGAGGACUAGGAGCAGACCGGGGAGGAGACGGGUAUACAGUGGUGCCUGGUGAGCUGGUAUACAGUGGUGCCUGGUGAGCACUGAGAGCAGACCGGGAGGAGACGGGUAUACAGUGGUGCCUGGUGAGCACAGAGAGCAGACCGGGAGGAGAUGGGUAUACAGUGGUGCCUGGUGAGCUGGUAUACAGUGGUGCCUGGUGAGCACAGAGAGCAGACCCGGGAGGAGACGGUGCUGUCCUCUCCAGCCCGUGGCUGAGGAGCGGAAGCUGAUGGUGGCGAGGGAGGGGCCUUGCCGCGGCCCCAGCGCGACCCUCCCGCCCGCUCCCCCAGCGCAGCCUUGCCCUACCCAGGCCCGGGUUGCACCCCGAGGGCUCCAGGGUUAGAGGCGACCAGGGCAGGGCCCUCCCGGGACAGGAGCCCAGCCUGGAGUCUGGCCGGGAGCCCAGCGGCCUGCUGUGACCGUGGCCCAGCCCUGCCUGCUGGUGUGCAGCAGGAGGUCCCCCAGAGCACCUCCCACUGGUGUGCGCGGGCACCUGAGGCCCCGGAGCAGCCUUGCCCUUCAGGUGCUGCUGUCUGAGGCAAGACGGCCCCCACCUGUGUCACGGCCUGGCCGCCUGGCCCUGCCCGUGGUCCUUCCCUGCCUGACAGCCUCGUCAUCGAGUGGCCAGCUUCACAGGUGGCCGCAGCCUCUCCGAGCCUCAGCUUCCCCACCUGCAACAUGGAGCGGCUAUGCAGCCUCUGAGCUGGGUGAGGUCAAAGUUGGCCCUGGAACCCGGGUCCCUUGGCUUCUUGCCCCAGGGCUGGAGUGGGAGCAGGACCCUGGCUGGCAUCAGCCCAGGGUGCCAGUGCUGGUGGGCUCACUCGUGUUCGCCAUCCCUCCUGGGACUCUUCAGACACCUGCUUAAACUAGGGGUCUCAACCCAUUCUGCAUCCAAGGAAAUGGGUCAGAGAGGGUGGUGGCUGCCUGAGAGUCACACAGCACAGAGUCAGCCGGGGGGUGGGGGUGGUCUCCAUGAGCCCUAUCCCUGCUCCCAGGCUGGGGACCUGUGUCCCCCAAACCGGGGGCAGGGUGCUGCUCCUGAGAAGCAACCACAGUGGGGGUUCCCUGUGAGCAGCCACUGCUGGGGACAGGCCCAUCCUAGGUUUGCAGCUGUCCCACUCUGUGCCUAUGGGGAGUUGAUCUCAGAGUUUCCAUCUCUGCAAAAUGGGCCUUUCUCGGGGACCCAGGAUGGGCUCUAAGGGUGCCUGGUCCUCGUGCCAGGAGCUCCUGAGUCUCAGGUGCCCCCUAUCAGUGGGUCAGCAUCGUUCACCUCGCGGUUGGAGAGGACGGCGGAGGCCCCACAGCAGGCAUGGCCAGGCAGAGCAGGGGGUGGGGUCUGUGUGGUUCAGUGCAACUCAGUGGAGGGGCACAGGGGCCACCUUUCUCCCCCCGACUGCUGACCACCCCCUCAGCAUCUCUGCACCUUCCCAGUCUCCUGGGCUUGCUUCUUGCCGGUUCCUCCUGGCAUCUGACCUCCAGCCCUCUGUCCUGGGUGCUGAGACCCAUUCCAGCCCCGGUCUCCUUGGUACUUUCACACGAAGUCUGUGCCCAGAGCCAGACACUGGGAGCGGCGGGGAGGGGCCAGGCCAGGUGGCCUCGCUCCCCCCGCGAAGCUCCUCCUCUGGGGACAGGGACAGAGCCUGGGAGGACUCCACCCCAGCAAGGGUGCUCCUGGCCUCCGUGUGACGGGGGAAGCCAGCGCCCCAGGCCCAGCCUCCUCCCACCAGGCCGCGAGCACGUGCAGCCCAGCCCGUGCCCACGCCGUGCCCAGCACUGCACAGACUGACCUCGCGCCCCCUGCAGUCUUGAGGGAGGUCCCGGGAGGAAGUGAGGCCAGGGAGUGUAAAGGUCAGGCUGGCACCUAUCUUGGGGACAGGAGACGGGCACUGCAGGGCGGUUCUCCUGGGGAGAGCUGUCCCCGAGCCACGCUGGGCCUGGCGGUGCCCAUCUUCACGCUCAGGACACGGAGGUCUUCCCGGGGCUCCCCGCGGUGCCUCCCAGAACGUGACCUUGGCGAGUUCCCUCCUCCCUGGGCAGAGGCCGCAGCAGGAGUCCAGAGCUGCAGCUCCACCAGGCACCCGUGGGCCAGCCCUGCUGGGCAGCACCGGGGCCCUGGCCGGCUGGUGUCCUGGGGUGAGACCCUGGGUUAAGCCCAGGGUGUGGCCACAAGUGGGUCUGGGGCUCCCUCUCCCGUGGUACAGGUGGCCACUCACGGGCCAGGUGGGUAGCCCCCCAACAUUUGCGAGGUGCCCCGUGCGCACUCCCAGGGCCCAGGGCUGGGAUUCCUGAGCCCGGUGGGGAGCUGCGGGGCCAGGCCCCAGGACACCGUGCCCGUCAGGUCACUGCUGAUGGUUCCCGGGGCUGGGCCUGCUAAGCCACUGGGGAACAGGGCCUGCCGUCCAGGGCCAGGGGUGAGUGUCUACUCCCCACUCCAUCACGCGUGGGGCCUGCCUCCUCCCAGCCUGUGGGCCGGGCUCCACCCAGCCGCGGGAUCCCGAGGGGCUUCCGCCUCAGUUUCCCCUUCUGAGCCGCAGGCCCUCACCCAGCGCCACCCAACACAGGCAGCCUCCCCAGGGAGUGCCCGGCCUCCACUGUGCCGGCUCCAUGGCCGUCCCCCUCCCACUGCGGCUGAAGCCUGGUCCCCGCACUGUCUCCCGUCGGGCCUCUGGCGGGCGCAGGUUUCAGCUCCUGUGAUAACUCGGAAAGUUGAACUGGCCCCAUUACUGCCGCGAUGGUUGGCCAGAUACGGCCUCGAUAAUGGAGGAGAUAGGCUCCCGUGGCCAGCGCCCCGCCUCCGUCCAUUAGCAUUCCCCACCAGCGAUGGCCUAUCUCCUGCAUUUCCACUCCUCCCGCAGAUAAGAAUGGAAAUUCUGACUUCAUAGCUCACUGAUUAAAGUGUCUGGAUUUCUUGAUAA